rnacentral:rRNA from 1 species
UGGGGAAUUUUGGACAAUGGGCGCAAGCCUGAUCCAGCAAUGCCGCGUGCAGGAUGAAGGCCUUCGGGUUGUAAACUGCUUUUGUACGGAGCGAAAAGGUCUGCCCUAAUACGGUGGGCUCAUGACGGUACCGUAAGAAUAAGCACCGGCUAACUACGUGCCAGCAGCCGCGGUAAUACGUAGGGUGCGAGCGUUAAUCGGAAUUACUGGGCGUAAAGCGUGCGCAGGCGGUUAUAUAAGACAGAUGUGAAAUCCCCGGGCUCAACCUGGGACCUGCAUUUGUGACUGUAUAGCUAGAGUACGGUAGAGGGGGAUGGAGUUCCACGUGUAGCAGUGAAAUGCGUAUAUAUGCGGAGGAACACCGAUGGCGAAGGCACUCCCCUGGACCUGUACUGACGCUCAUGCACGAAAGCGUGGGGAGCAAACA